rnacentral:rRNA from 1 species
UGGGGAAUUUUGGACAAUGGGCGAAAGCCUGAUCCAGCCAUGCCGCGUGCAGGAUGAAGGCCUUCGGGUUGUAAACUGCUUUUGUACGGAACGAAAAAGCCUCUUUCUAAUAAAGAGGGGUCAUGACGGUACCGUAAGAAUAAGCACCGGCUAACUACGUGCCAGCAGCCGCGGUAAUACGUAGGGUGCAAGCGUUAAUCGGAAUUACUGGGCGUAAAGCGUGCGCAGGCGGUUUUGUAAGACAGAGGUGAAAUCCCCGGGCUCAACCUGGGAACUGCCUUUGUGACUGCAAGGCUGGAGUGCGGCAGAGGGGGAUGGAAUUCCGCGUGUAGCAGUGAAAUGCGUAGAUAUGCGGAGGAACACCGAUGGCGAAGGCAAUCCCCUGGGCCUGCACCUGACGCUCAUGCACGAAAGCGUGGGGAGCAAACAGGAUUAGAUACCCUGGUAGUCCACGCCCUAAACGAUGUCAACUGGUUGUUGGGUCUUCACUGACUCAGUAACGAAGCUAACGCGUGAAGUUGACCGCCUGGGGAGUACGCCGCAAGGUUGAAACUCAAAGGAA